rnacentral:rRNA from 1 species
CCUACGGGAGGCAGCAGUGAGGAAUAUUGGUCAAUGGACGAGAGUCUGAACCAGCCAAGUAGCGUGAAGGAUGACUGCCCUAUGGGUUGUAAACUUCUUUUAUAUGGGAAUAAAACGUUCCACGUGUGGGAUUUUGUAUGUACCAUAUGAAUAAGGAUCGGCUAACUCCGUGCCAGCAGCCGCGGUAAUACGGAGGAUCCGAGCGUUAUCCGGAUUUAUUGGGUUUAAAGGGAGCGUAGGUGGAUUGUUAAGUCAGUUGUGAAAGUUUGCGGCUCAACCGUAAAAUUGCAGUUGAAACUGGCAGUCUUGAGUACAGUAGAGGUGGGCGGAAUUCGUUGUGUAGCGGUGAAAUGCUUAGAUAUCACGAAGAACUCCGAUGGCGAAGGCAGUUCACUGGACUGCAACUGACACUGAGGCUCGAAAGUGUGGGUAUCAAACAGGAUUAGAUACCCUUGUAGUC